rnacentral:rRNA from 1 species
UACGUAGGGGGCAAGCGUUGUCCGGAAUCACUGGGCGUAAAGGGCGCGUAGGCGGCCUUCUAAGUCGAACGUGAAAUCCCCGGGCUCAACCCGGGAACUGCGUCCGAUACUGGAAGGCUUGAAUCCGGGAGAGGGAUGCGGAAUUCCAGGUGUAGCGGUGAAAUGCGUAGAUAUCUGGAGGAACACCGGUGGCGAAGGCGGCAUCCUGGACCGGCAUUGACGCUGAGGCGCGAAAGCCAGGGGAGCAAAGCGGG